rnacentral:ncRNA from 1 species
AUUAGCGUGUUGAUAGGAAAUAGUAACAAAUAGUGUUUCUUGACAGAGAGUCGGUGGUUGGUGGAAACCGAUAGAAACGAUUUGUGAAUCCAUCCUGGAGUGAAAUGUGGAAUAUCUUUAUGAUUAGUAAGCAUUUCCGGUGAAGAGCCGUUAUUUCUACUUGAGAGGAAAACAGAGUUGUUUUCAACUAGGGUGGCAACGCGGGUUAACUCCCGUCCCUUUU